rnacentral:tRNA from 1 species
GAGAGAGGCCAUGAGGCAAUAGAGACUGCUAAUCCCUAGCCCCGUAGUUAAAUUCUGCGGCUCACUCG